UAUCGGGAAUUUCGUCUAUAAAAGAGCUUUGUUCAAGACUACAAACUCUGUGGAAUGACUCUACGGACGGGCCUUUACCUGGCGAUGCAACUUCCUUCACUCAUGAGAUCUAUCUCACUUUGAUCCCUAAAUUACUGGAAUGCAUAAACACCGUCAAGAUUGCUCACGUUCAUGUGGCGGCUUCGCAAUGCCUGCUUGAUCUCAUCCAUCUGUAUCGCAAGGUUUCAUCGGUGCAUCGGGUGGACGACGUGGAUUUCAAGGCGGAGAUACUCUCUCUGCUCGAAGUCGAAAAGAAUGAAGAAGCUAAGUCUUUGUUAAGAAAAUCUAUUGAUGCCUUAGGUUAUCUUUCUAGGUGACGUGUCACAUAGGGUAGAACCUUAUGCCUUAAGACAUAUCUCUCACGCCUUUUGCAAUACCGGAGAAUUUAAAAUGAUCUCCUUCUUUCGGUAGAACUUCGUUAUUUUUCUUCUAGUCUUCUUGUUUUUAUUUCACUCGUGUUUUCUAUAAAGAGGCAGAUCUUCUUUUAUUUC